UACGGAGGGUGCAAGCGUUAUCCGGAUUCACUGGGUGUAAAGGGUUCGUAGGCGGUGCGGCAAGUCGGGUGUGAAAUCUCUGGGCUUAACCCAGAGGCUGCUUCCGAAACUGCUGUGCUUGAGUGUGGGAGAGGCGCGUGGAAUUGCAGGUGUAGCGGUGAAAUGCGUAGAUAUCUGCAGGAACACCCGUGGCGAAAGCGGCGCGCUGGACCACUACUGACGCUGAGGAACGAAAGCUAGGGGAGCAAACAGG
rnacentral:rRNA from 1 species